rnacentral:misc_RNA from 1 species
ACCGAGGAGAACUGAUCACUCUUCAUCUCUCAGAUUUUUUUUCACUCCUUUUGCUCUAUAAAAUCCCCACCCCGCUUCCCAUUUCUAUGUAUUCUCCUUGCGCUUUCAUCCCGCAAGAUCAAGAACAAGGCUAAAAUCUUUAUCUUUGAUACAAUUUUUAAUACAAUCGAUCAAUGUUUUGAAAUUUUGCGCGGUAAAAGUGGUGAUGAUGAUGGAGACGGAGCACGGACAGAGGGGGACGCUAUCUUAUUAUACCAUUCUUGGUGUGAGUGCGGAUUCUUCCAUUGAAGAUAUAAAACGAGCGUAUCGUAGGCUUGCUAUGCAAUGGCAUCCUGAUAGGUGGACAAAAACCCCUGCCUUGUUAAGUGAAGCCAAACGUAAAUUCCAACAAAUUCAGGAGGCCUAUUCAGUGUUAUCAGACCAAAAGAAGAGGGCAUUGUAUGAUAUAGGAUUUUAUGACCCUGAAGAGGAAGAAGAUGAGGGAUUCUCUGAUUUCGUGCAAGAAAUGUGGUCUCUCAUGGCACAGAACAAGAGAGAGGUAUGAAUCUGAUCCUUUUUUCUAACCUGAUUAAGUUGCGUGGUUUAUAACUUAAUUGGCUUGCUAUAUGACUUCAAUCCACCGAUCUGAUCUAGGGUGGCAUGGCGAAUGGGCAAAGCUGUUGUGUUUGAGCACUGUUUUAAAGCCCACUGUGGGAGAUCUUACAAUUAAUAUAUUUCACAUGAAUGUUCAGUUUAACUUUUGCAAUGACUCCUUGUUAAUAGCUAUAGAAAUAUGGUUUGAUGAUAGGCGAAAAGGAGGAAGCAGAAAUUGAAGGAUAUUUCAGAUUCUGUAACUUAAGAAACUAUUUAUCUCUUUGAAAAUAGAAACUUCAAUAGUUAGUAGGAGGGUCGUCUAAAUUGUAUUGUACUGGUUGAGAAAUCAAAUUCUGAUAUCUGAUAGCUACUUUACACAUCAAAUUAAGUUAGAAGAGCAUUUGUUUUAAUUUAUUCUAUGAUAAAUAAUAACGACGUAGCAGAGCUUGAAUUGGUUAGGAAGUAAUCAAGAUGAGUUGUACUUUAGUCUUGGUGUAAGGUCUCAUUUCUAUAAAUUGAAGCAACUGGUUGAAGAGAAUGUCAUAUUUAAGUUUGCCACUCCUUAUGGACUAAGAAUGCCAUGGAUACUACGGCUACUGUAAUUUCAUCAGAUUGUUAAAAUAUCCAUCUGAUGAAGAUAUGAGAAAUCAGCAUUCCCAAAGCUGUUCUGCUUUGGCUUAGUCCUUGGAAUUAACAUUUGUUCCUCAUGAAUUAUCUAUCUUCUGCAAUGAUACUUCUCACGUAUUCAUGAUUAUUUAGCCAAUAUAGAAUUUGGAUUUUUGGUUAGCAGUGUGUAGAAGGGAACAGGAGUGAAGAUAUUUUAGUUUCGGGAGAAGUCAUUUAUCUUUAGAAUGAAAAAUUUCAAGAGCUAAGAGCUAAUAAUAGAGGUUAUGUUGUUGUAUUGUCUUGUAGUGGUUGAGAUAUUAUCCAUGUUAUAAACAUAUGGUGGAAGACUGUGCCAAAUGUUAAUGUUGGCCACUCAAUGGGUACCAAUCAUGACAUGGGUGGCUACUGCAACUUCAAUCAAUUAUUUAAAUAUCAUGUUGUUAUGAUCUGACGAUAUACAUGCAGUAUGCAUGCUACCCGAGCCAAUUGAAAUAACUGUGUUCUCUCUCUCUCUCUCUUUAUUAAUUGAUUUUGCACCUUUGUUAACAUAUGCAGGACAAGAACUAUAGCAUGGAGGAGCUGCAAACAAUGUUCACGGAAAUGGUACAAGGAUUUGAAUCUUCUUGGUCAUACUAUGGAUCUUCCAUUUUUUAUUACCCUGGACAGUCGAAAAGGGCGUGGGGUGAUUCAAAACCAGUGAUGGAUAGCAGUGGUUCACAUUUUGGAGUAUCAAGCUGGGGAUGUAUGGAACAAGCAGUUAUUGCAACUAGGGGAUCCCAUUUUGCUCUUUCUGGCCGGAAGUUAUUGUGAUGAUGGAGAGAAGGACAAAUAUUUGAUUUUGUUCCUCAUUUUGUGUGGACAUUGAAUGGAAUUAUCAGUUAUGUAUAUGAGUUGUGACACAAUUUUGGAGAAAGAUGAUUGUGUGAAUCAUUGGAUUGGUGUUUUGUGCUUCAGGUUUGGCCAUGAUUGCAUUUCUUGAGAGGCACACGUGCGCCUACUCUUUUCAAUGUUAUGGUGGGUGCUAGACUAAUUAUGCCGAAACCCGGGCUGCCAACUAUUGGGCCUGGAAAUUAGCCAUAUGCAAAUGUUGUACAGAAUGGAUUUUAUAGAUUUCUGAAUUUACGUUUGUCCUUAUUUGCAUUUGGCAUUUUAGAUAUGGUUGAUUGUGCA